rnacentral:rRNA from 1 species
GUAUUUUGACUAUACGAAGGUAUUGAAAUAAGAUUUUAAAUGAGUGCUAAGAGAAUGGUUUAACAAUUAGUAACUUUCUUUAUUUUAAAAAUUAAAUUUAAUUUUUUUGUGAGGAAGCAAAAAUAAAAAUUAGGGACAAGAAGACCCUAUGAAUUUUAAAUUAAUUUUAAAAAAUAUAAUUUAUUUUUUAUUUUAAUUUUGUUGGGGCGACAGAAAAAGAAUAUUUAUCUUUUAAUAAUAAAUUAAUUUUGAUCCAUUAUUUAAUGAUUUAAUGAAAAAAAUACUCUAGGGAUAACAGCGUAAUAAUUUUGGAUAGUUCUUAUAGAUAAAAUAGUUUGCGACCUCGAUGUUGGAUUAGGAUUCUUUUU